AUUGAACGCUGGCGGCAGGCCUAACACCUGCAAGUCGAGCGUAGCGGCGGACGGGGGAGUGAUGCCUAGGAAUCGGCCUGGUACUGGAGGAUAACGUCCGGCAACGGGCGCUAAUACCGCAUACUCUCAGAUGAGCCUAGGUCGGAUUAGCUAGUUGGUGGGGUAAGGGCCUAACAAGGCGACGAUCCGUAACUGGUCUGAGAGGAAGAUCAGUCACACUGGAACUGAGACCCGGCCUAGACUCCUACGGGAGGCAGUAGUGGGGAAUAGUCGACAAUGGGCGAAAGCCUGAUCCAGCCAGGCCGCGUGGGAGAAGAAGGUCUUCGGAUUUUAAAGGACUUUAAGUUGUGAGGCGGUACCAAAAGAAUAAGCAACGGCUAACUUCGUGCCAGCAGCCGCGGUAAUAC
rnacentral:rRNA from 1 species